rnacentral:rRNA from 1 species
AUUGAACGCUGGCGGCAGGCCUAACACAUGCAAGUCGAGCGAGCGGCGGACGGGUGAGUAAUGUAUGGGGACUGCCCGAUAGAGGGGGAUAACUACUGGAAACGGUGGCUAAUACCGCCUACUGUCGGAUAACCCAUAUGGGAUUAGCUCGUAGGUAAGGUAAUGGCUUACAUAGGCGACGAUCCCUAGCGGGUCUGAGAGGAUGAUCAGCAACACUGGGACGGAGACACGGCCCAGACGACGACGGAGGCAGCAGGGGGGAAUAUGGCACAAUGGGCGCAAGCCUGAUGAAGCAAGGCGGCGUGGAUGAAGAAGGCGCUAGGGUUGUAAAGUACUGUCAGUCGGGAGGCGUUACCGACAGAAGAAGCACCGGCGAACUCCGUGCCAGCAGCCGCGGUAAUUC